AAACAUCCAAUAACAGAAGCAACCAAGCAACAUGGAAAAGUAUGUAUUUUUAAAAUACAUGUAACAAAGGAUUCGAUGUAUAAUAUAUUUAUCUCUUUGUUCGUGUUUUAACGAUGUGGCGAAUCAUUUAGCACACCACGCAAGAUCGUGGUGCUCAAUAUGAGAGACGGAAAAUAUGUUUUAUCCGAGAAGCCGCAGCCUACAGCUUCCUCAUCACAACCAACACUACAUCCAGAUUUUAUAAAACAACUACCAACGGCAAAAAAUAUAUCCAAGAACAUCCAACCUGCAACAAACAUCGUUCACCGCAAUGUUUCCGCAUCCAUUUCGGAUUCCAUUUUUUCCGCAUCCAACAAACCCAACAUUUCCAAACCCAUAAGCAGCAAUAGUCCCAUAAAUCUAGAGACAACAAUAUCCUCUAUAGACGCAGGAUUGCGCGAUCUUUUAGUUUCAAUUGGACAGAAAAUGGAUGACAUGACAAAAAAAAUUACAAAUUUGGACCAGAAACUUAAUGAAAUAGAAACUAACCACGCCAACAGGGUUCGAGUUGUUGAGAAAAAUCAAGCAAUUAUUAAAACUAAGCUGGACUUGAUCUUAGAUAAAAUCUCUCCUCGUCCAGGAUUGGUAACAAAUAGUUCAUUCAACUGGGAACCGAUCGCAUCCAAAGAAAUGUUGGAUGCAGUGGAUCAGCAGCUUAAUGAUCAACAGUACAAAAAAGAAUUUGAAGAAUAUCUGGAAUGCCAGCUGCCAACAGAUAGCUCGGAAGAAAGGCUUCAUUCAGCGAUGGACAUCAUAUUUGC